ACGGGGUGCAGCAGGCGCGAAAACUUCACACUGGGGGCAACCCCGAUGAGGGAAAUCCUAGUGCUAGGACAUUUGUUCUAGCUUUUCUCAAGCGUAGAUAACUUGAGGAAUAAGGGCUGGGUAAGACGGGUGCCAGCCGCCGCGGUAAUACCUGCAGCCCAAGUGGUGGUCGAUCUUAUUGAGUCUAAAACGUUCGUAGCCGGUUUGGUAAAUCUUUGGGUAAAUCGGGAAGCUUAACUUUCCGACUUCCGAAGAGACUGUCAAACUUGGGACCGGGAGAGGCUAGAGGUACUUCUGGGGUAGGGGUAAAAUCCUGUAAUCCUAGAAGGACCACCGGUGGCGAAGGCGUCUAGCUAGAACGGAUCCGACGGUGAGGGACGAAGCCCUGGGUCGCAAACGGGAUUAGAUACCCCGGUAGUCCAGGGUGUAAACGCUGCCGACUUGGUGUUGGAGGCCCUUCGGGGGCAUUCAGUGCCGGAGAGAAGUUGUUAAGUCGGCUACUUGGGGAGUACGUCCGCAAGGAUGAAACUUAAAGGAAUUGGCGGGGGAGCAC
rnacentral:rRNA from 1 species